GAGGUAUGAGAUUUUCUGAUGGAUGUGAGAUGGCUCAUGGAGGGGGUGCAAAUAAUUUUCGAAGGCAAUCCAUCGCUAUGUAUUUAAAGGGGGUGCGUCGGAGGGUUUGAUUCAUUCAGAUUUCCAAUUCUUCCUUUCUUUCUAACAUCCUCUCCCUAUUGUCCAAUUAGUCUCUUCCUUCUCUUAUUAGGAUAAGUUCAAAAAUAGUAAGGACAAGUCUGAUUUUAGGACAAGAGUCUAGGAAGAGUACUAAGGAAGACAAGGAGAGAAGAAAGGUAGGGAUAGGAAGGCUAGGAGAAGAGGAAGAGGGUCUUGAGGUCCUGGUGUCCAAAAAAAUUUAUAGAGUGAGAAUUUUGAAAGAGAAAUCAUCUCAAAGAGUUGGUGUCCUGAUCAUGGCC
rnacentral:lncRNA from 1 species